CGGCGCACGGGUGAGUAACGCGUAUCCAACCUGCCCUUUACUAUGGGACAGCCCGUCGAAAGGCGGAUUAAUACCGUAUGUUGUCAUGUUGAUGCAUAUUUUCAUGACCAAAGGCUUCGGCCGGUAAAGGAUGGGGAUGCGUCUGAUUAGCUUGCCGGCGGGGUAACGGCCCACCGGGGCGACGAUCAGUAGGGGUUCUGAGAGGAAGGUCCCCCACAUUGGAACUGAGACACGGUCCAAACUCCUACGGAAGGCAGCAG
rnacentral:rRNA from 1 species